rnacentral:rRNA from 1 species
CCUACGGGAGGCAGCAGUAAGGAAUCUUCCACAAUGGACGAAAGUCUGAUGGAGCAACGCCGCGUGCAGGAUGAAGGCUUUCGGGUCGUAAACUGCUUUUAUAUGGGAAGAUUAUGACGGUACCAUAUGAAUAAGGACCGGCUAACUACGUGCCAGCAGCCGCGGUAAUACGUAGGGUCCAAGCGAUAUCCGGAAUUACUGGGCGUAAAGCGUGUGUAGGUGGAUUAAUAAGUGUGAUGCGAAAUCCGGCGGCUCAACCGUUUGGACUGUGUCGCAUACUGUUAGUCUAGAGGACGGCAGAGGUAAGUGGAAUUACGGGUGUAGCAGUGAAAUGCGUAGAUAUCCGUAGGAACACCAAUGGCGAAGGCAGCUUACUGGGCCACACCUGACACUGAGACACGAAAGCGUGGGGAGCGAACAGGAUUAGAUACCCUGGUAGUCCACGCCGUAAACGAUGCAUACUAUUAGUAUGGGGUAUCGACCCCCUGUGCUGAGAAGCUAACGCGAUAAGUAUGCCGCCGNGGGAGGUACGAGCGCGAGACUUAAACUUAAAUAGAGUAGAGCGUGAGAGUGCGACGACGACGACGAGGGAGAGG